rnacentral:lncRNA from 1 species
UAUUUGGAGACAGAGUCGCACUGAGUGGCUUAGCACCUUGCUGCUGCUGAGGCUGGCUUUGAACUCUGGAUCCUCCUGCCUCAGACUCUGAGCCACUGGGAUGUGCCCACACCUGGCCCCUGUUUACUUUUUGAUGUGUGUGUGUAGACAGAAGCUGUGGAUGGACCUUCAGGUUACUUAUUUAUUCAUUCACACCUCGUGCUGGGAAUCACACCCAGGGCCUCACGCAGGCGAGGCAAGCGCUUUGCCACCGAGCUACAGCCUCAGCCUCUUCAAUUAUUAUUUUUUUUAACUUGAAAUGGUUUCAUCAAAUUGCCCAGGCUGACCUUGAACUUGAGACCCUCCUGUCUCAGCCUCCUGAGUAGCUGGGAUGACUGAAAUGAUAUCAUUUUAAACACCCACAGGAUCUGCCUGCCCUAACCCAGCUCACAGGGCCUCCCAGCCCUUGGCCCCAUGCACGGAGCCCUGGCCACCUGUGAGGUGCUGUUCCGUUGGCUGUUGAAGGUGAGCUGCGGGAGGGAGGUCUCCCGGACCCCAGAGCUUCAGAAUGCAAGUUACUAAGAGCUCCGUGAGUCCCUACUGGACGUCCCAGCGGCUGGGGAGGCUGAGGCAGGAGGAUGGCAUGUUCAAGGCCAGCAACUUAGUGAGACCCUGUUUCAAAUUAAGAAAGGAGCAGGGCUGGGCGUGGCUUGGUGGCAGAGCUCCCCCGGUUCUGUCCCAUCGCCUUCCUCCCCGUCUGGGACAGGGACGAUGGGACAGGGUGGGGAACAGGCGACUUGAGGCUGUCUUGGCCUCUGGUUUUCACCCAGUCGCUGAGGCAUCAGGCCCUGGAACAUGGGCUCCCCAGGGACACACAGCGGCCACGGUUCCAGUCGGGAAACCAAGCAAAGAGACCGAGUCGGCCUCUCCUGGGCUGAGGCUCAGCCGGGGAGGAGGACGCCCAGGCUGCAUCCCACUGCGGAGGCGGGGUCUGCCGGGUGACUUACCUGCAGCACAAAGCCACGUACAGGCUCCGUGUGCCCAGUGGACAGCGCUUGCCUGGCAGCGUGAGGCCCCGGUCCCCUCCCAGCAAGCCCUGCCCCUUCUCAGAGGGACCCGCGCAUCUGCAACCUGGGAGCCCAUCCCUGGGAGGACACCCAGACGCCCUGUUCCAAGGGGGAAGCCGGGAGGCGGCGUCGGAGCCUGCCUGCCUUCUUUCCCAGAGCUCGGGCACGACAGGUAUUUAUUGAGCAGCUACUGUGUGCCAGCCCCUCAUCACUGCCCGUUACGUGGUGACACUCAGUCACCACGCCGCGGUUCCAGCUUCAUGCAUGUGCUCAGAAUCUAGUCCUGUCCCUCCAACUGUAAGGCGACCAGCCUGGCACAGGUCCUUACCGUCCUGCUCAGCGCAGUGGUCUCUCACCUCCUUUAGAAUCUGGAGGAUGCGAGGGACGACAAUAAAG